rnacentral:lncRNA from 1 species
AUCUCCUUUUUAGUGUCAUGCACCUGAAGGGAAGGAAACAGUUUCACUCCAGAAUGCCCAGGUUGCAUCUAAAAUUUUCUCUAAUAUUUUAUUUAUUUAAGGAUCAAAUUCUUACCUGAAUUGCAGUAGAACCAGGGAUCAAAUUUUAAAUUAUCUGAUAUAAACCUUCGCGGAGGUCUGAAUAUGCAGACCCUCUACUUCGCAUGCACGUCAGAUGCCGC